rfam:Euryarchaeota archaeon TMED132 MHASMcontig_83364, whole genome shotgun sequence.
CCUCGCUUAGCUCAGUUGGUAGAGCACCUGACUGUAGUUGUGUAAAAACAAACGUCUCAGCAGACAUCAGGGUGUCCCCAGUUCAAGUCUGGGAGCGGGGA